rnacentral:rRNA from 1 species
UACGUAGGAUGCGAGCGUUAUCCGGAUUUAUUGGGUUUAAAGGGUGCGCAGGCGGCACAGCAAGCCGGCGGUCAAAUCGCGGGGCUCAACCCCGCCCAGCCGUCGGAACUGCCGGGCUAGAGUGGGCGAGAAGUGCGCGGAAUGCGUGGUGUAGCGGUGAAAUGCAUAGAUAUCACGCAGAACUCCGAUUGCGAAGGCAGCGCACCGGCGCCCUACUGACGCUCAGGCACGAAAGCGUGGGUAUCGAACAGG